rnacentral:tRNA from 1 species
GUAGUCGUGGCCGAGUGAUUAAGGCGAUGUACUAGAAAUCCAUUGGGCUCUGCCCGCUCAGGUUCGAAUCCUGUCGACUACG